CCUACGGGUGGCUGCAGUGGGGAAUAUUGCACAAUGGGGGAAACCCUGAUGCAGCGACGCCGCGUGAGCGAUGAAGUAUUUCGGUAUGUAAACCUCUAUCAGCAGGGAAGAAAAUGACGGUACCUGACUAAGAAGCCCCGGCUAAAUACGGGCCAGCAGCCGCGGUAAUACGUAGGGGGCAAGCGUUAUCCGGAUUUACUGGGUGGAAAGGGAACGUAGACGGCGAUGCAAGCCAGAUGUGAAAGCCCGGGGCUCAACCCCGGGACUGCAUUUGGAACUGGAUAGCUGGAGUGUCGGAGAGGCAGGCGGAAUUCCUAGUGUAGCAGUGAAAUGCGUAGAUAGUAGGAGGAACACCAGUGGCGAAGGCGGCCUUCUGGACGAUGACUGACGUUGAGGCUCGAAAGCGUGGGGAGCAAACAGGAUUAGAUACCCUGGUAGUC
rnacentral:rRNA from 1 species